AAGAAGCAGAGCAUAUGUUGUAGUAGGUAUCUGCACACUGACACAGGGAAUGAACAUAUGGAAGAAGAGCAACUAAAAGCUGUGAAUACACAAUUAAGAAUCAAAAGAGGAUAACCAAAAGGCCCGAUGGCAGUCUGAAACCCAGCGGCUGUAAGGUAGAUAUGGCUGACAAUCAAACCCUACUCAACAUAAAGUGUUGCAGAAUUGCCGCACCAAUUAAAUGCAUAUCCUGGUGACAGUGAAGGUAAGAGAACUGGUGAGAAUAUUACAUAAGGUAUUUGGGCAGACACUGAUGAAGCUGAGAAUCUGGGCACCCCAUUCUUUUGAAUCUCUCUUGCCAAUGAAAUGGUACUCCUUAUCCACUUGAAGGUAUCAGACCUUCUCUCCAUUAAAGCAUAUUCUUGACUACACCUUACAUUUGCCUUACAAGCUGAUACCAAUUCUCUUCAGCUCCCACCCCUACCACUUGUCAUUGGCUCCAGGGUCAUAAUGAGACUUAGAUCUGAAUAUAACCCUG
rnacentral:lncRNA from 1 species